rnacentral:rRNA from 1 species
CACGUAGGGCGCAAGCGUUGUUCGGAAUUACUGGGCGUAAAGGGCUCGUAGGCGGCCAACUAAGUCAGACGUGAAAUCCCUCGGCUUAACCGGGGAACUGCGUCUGAUACUGGAUGGCUUGAGUUUGGGAGAGGGAUGCGGAAUUCCAGGUGUAGCGGUGAAAUGCGUAGAUAUCUGGAGGAACACCGGUGGCGAAGGCGGCAUCCUGGACCAACACUGACGCUGAGGAGCGAAAGCCAGGGGAGCAAACGGG